GACGAACGCUGGCGGCGUGCUUAACACAUGCAAGUCGAACGGAAAGGCCCUGCUUUUGUGGGGUGCUCGAGUGGCGAACGGGUGAGUAACACGUGAGUAACCUGCCCUUGACUUUGGGAUAACUUCAGGAAACUGGGGCUAAUACCGGAUAGGAGCUCCUGCUGCAUGGUGGGGGUUGGAAAGUUUCGGCGGUUGGGGAUGGACUCGCGGCUUAUCAGCUUGUUGGUGGGGUAGUGGCUUACCAAGGCUUUGACGGGUAGCCGGCCUGAGAGGGUGACCGGCCACAUUGGGACUGCGAUACGGACCAGACUCCUACGGGAGGCAGCAGUGGGGAAUCUUGCACAAUGGGCGGAAGCCUGAUGCAGCAACGCCGCGUGCGGGAUGACGGCCUUCGGGUUGUGAACCGCUUUCGCCUGUGACGCAGCGUGAGUGACGGUAAUGGGUAAAGAAGCACCGGCUAACUACGUG
rnacentral:rRNA from 1 species